GACGAACGCUGGCGGCGUGCCUAAUACAUGCAAGUAGAACGCACAGGAUGCACCGUAGUUUACUACACCGUAUUCUGUGAGUUGCGAACGGGUGAGUAACGCGUAGGUAACCUGCCUGGUAGCGGGGGAUAACUAUUGGAAACGAUAGCUAAUACCGCAUAAGAACAUUUACUGCAUGGUAGAUGUUUAAAAGGUGCAAAUGCAUCACUACCAGAUGGACCUGCGUUGUAUUAGCUAGUAGGUGAGGUAACGGCUCACCUAGGCGACGAUACAUAGCCGACCUGAGAGGGUGAUCGGCCACACUGGGACUGAGACACGGCCCAGACUCCUACGGGAGGCAGCAGUAGGGAAUCUUCGGCAAUGGGGGGAACCCUGACCGAGCAACGCCGCGUGAGUGAAGAAGGUUUUCGGAUCGUAAAGCUCUGUUGUUAAGGAAGAACGAGUGUGAGAAUGGAAAGUUCAUACUGUGACGGUACUUAACCAGAAAGGGACGGCUAACUACGUGCCAGCAGCCGCGGUAAUACGUAGGUCCCGAGCGUUGUCCGGAUUUAUUGGGCGUAAAGCGAGCGCAGGCGGUUAGAUAAGUCUGAAGUUAAAGGCAGUGGCUCAACCAUUGUAGGCUUUGGAAACUGUUUAACUUGAGUGCAGAAGGGGAGAGUGGAAUUCCAUGUGUAGCGGUGAAAUGNGUAGAUAUAUGGAGGAACACCGGUGGCGAAAGCGGCUCUCUGGUCUGUAACUGACGCUGAGGCUCGAAAGCGUGGGGAGCGAACAGG
rnacentral:rRNA from 1 species